rnacentral:rRNA from 1 species
UACGUAGGGACCGAGCGUUGUCCGGAAUCAUUGGGCGUAAAGAGCGUGUAGGCGGCCAACUAAGUCCUGCGUGAAAUCUCGGGGCUCAACCCCGAGCGGUCGUGGGAAACUGGUUGGCUAGAGUGCGGGAGAGGAGAGUGGAAUUCCUGGUGUAGCGGUGAAAUGCGUAGAUAUCGGGAGGAACACCAGUGGCGAAAGCGGCUACCUGGCCCAUUCUUGACGCUGAGGCGCGAAAGCUAGGGGAGCAAACGGG